rnacentral:rRNA from 1 species
AUUGAACGCUGGCGGCAGGCCUAACACAUGCAAGUCGAACGAGUGGCGGACGGGUGAGUAAUGCUUGGGAAUCUGCCUGAUGGAGGGGGAUAACUACUGGAAACGGUAGCUAAUACCGCAUACCAUCAGAUGUGCCCAGAUGGGAUUAGCUAGUUGGUGGGGUAAAGGCUCACCAAGGCGACGAUCCCUAGCUGGUCUGAGAGGAUGACCAGCCACACUGGGACUGAGACACGGUCCAGACUCCUACGGGAGGCAGCAGUGGGGAAUAUUGCGCAAUGGGCGCAAGCCUGAUGCAGCCAUGCCGCGUGAAUGAAGAAGGCCUUCGGGUUGUAAAGUUCUUUCGGCGGGGAGGCGUUACCCGCAGAAGAAGCACCGGCUAACUCCGUGCCAGCAGCCGCGGUAAUAC